rnacentral:rRNA from 1 species
UACGUAGGGCGCAAGCGUUGUCCGGAAUUAUUGGGCGUAAAGAGCUCGUAGGCGGUUUGUCGCGUCGGCCGUGAAAACUUGGGGCUUAACCCCGAGCCUGCGGUCGAUACGGGCAGACUUGAGUUCGGCAGGGGAGACUGGAAUUCCUGGUGUAGCGGUGAAAUGCGCAGAUAUCAGGAGGAACACCGGUGGCGAAGGCGGGUCUCUGGGCCGAUACUGACGCUGAGGAGCGAAAGCGUGGGGAGCGAACAGG